rnacentral:rRNA from 1 species
GACGAACGCUGGCGGCGUGCUUAACACAUGCAAGUCGAGCGGUAAGGCCCUUUCGGGGUACGACGAGCGGCGAACGGGUGAGUAACACGUGGGUGACCUGCCCUCAGCUCUGGGAUAAGCCUGGGAAACCGGGUCUAAUACUGGAUAUGACUCCAUGACGCAUGUUGUGGGGUGGAAAGCCUUGUGCGGCUGAGGAUGGGCCCGCGGCCUAUCAGCUUGUUGGUGGGGUGANGGCCUACCAAGGCGACGACGGUAGCCGGCCUGAGAGGCGACCGGCCACACUGGGACUGAGACACGGCCCAGACUCCUACGGGAGGCAGCAGUGGGGAAUCUUGCGCAAUGGGCGAAAGCCUGACGCAGCGACGCCGCGUGAGGGAUGACGGCC